CGGGACGUGGCGCAGCUCGGUAGCGCACAUGUAUGGGGUACAUGAGGUCGCCGGUUCAAAUCCGGCCGUCCCGA
rfam:Salinibacter ruber DSM 13855, complete genome.